rnacentral:lncRNA from 1 species
GUCGCCGUGUGGCAGUGGUUGGAGCACGACCGGUGUUGAUGAGCUGUCACUGGUCUCUUCCAAGAGGUUUUCUGGAUAGAAAUUCCUUUUCAGGGAGAGUAGAGGAACGAAACCUUUUGACGUAUUCUUUAUGACAGGAGGGCUUCAUGCCUAUAAUCCCAGCACUUGGAAGACGGAAAUAAAAGUGUCGCCGUGAGUUUGAGGACAGCCUGCACUACAGAUUUGCAUUCUUGAAGCUUCCUGCUUCCUCCCCAGCCCAGCUUAAAGAUGAAACUCUCCAUCACUAAGUCUACCUGAUUACCUAUCCCAGAUGAGGGGGAUUCAAAAUACUCAAGUAAACACUUGACUUUUAGGGAUUUGCUGCUACAACUGUAAUAAUGAAAUGACUAGAAUUACCACUUUCUGAUUAAAAAAAGGAAUCUGAAACUCUGCCCUACAGUGAUCUGAGCAUGAGAGCAUUUAUUGAAAACUUUUUUCUCAGCUGAGACCUCCAACUUACAGAGGAGCCGGGAGCCUCUAUGGGCUUUUCUUACCUACUGACAUCAACAUUCAGUCUAUUGAAAAAGGACUUAAAACUUUGGUUGAGGUGGGAGACGGUGAUGGUACAGACUUAAUAAAAAUGAGGUUUCCAGUUCCUGAAGAGGAAAUACAGUACUGUUGACAG